ensembl:rRNA 5S_rRNA 5S ribosomal RNA
GUCUACGGCCAUACCACCCUGAACGUGCCCGAUCUCGUCUGAUCUCGGAAGCUAAGCAGGGUCGGGCCUGGUUAGUACUUGGAUGGGAGAUUCAUCAUUAUGAUCACUAUGAAAAAUGCUUGUCCCCCAGGGACG